rnacentral:antisense_RNA from 1 species
GCAGUGUCAGACCCCGGCCAAUGACCACCAUGGACCUCCCUGUAGUUGAACAAAGUUGGGUUUGCUGACUGGUGGCAGUGAGGGAGAAUGCACACCACAGGGAGCUGUGCAGUGUCUCAGUAAGAAGCCAGGAGCCAUCCCAUGAGGCCGUUACUGCAAACAAGCUGAAAAUCCUGCUUUGUUUCUUUUGGACACAACAUGCUUUCCUUCAGCUUCAGUAGACGAUGAGGCCAGCACCACAUGGGCUAGAUGUACAUGAGAUGUGAGCAACCACACUUCCCCUCUGACGGGGACAGACAGCAUCACAGUAUCCUGAUGGGACAGACAGAUGAAGAACCAGAGACCCAGAGAGGUUAAGUAGCUUGCCCAAGGUCACGCAGCAGUGUAAGCAGUACGGACGAUUCUUAAGCCCACAUUGUUUGACUUCUGAGACAUAUCAGAAAACUACAUCAAAGAACACGCACAACUCAGACCUAUUUCCAGUGGCCUAUGCAGAAGAGCUACCCUGCUUGAAUGGAAACCCCUUAAGAUAUACUAUUCUCGAAAACCUAAGUGCUUAGCCUGGUUUAUGGAGGAGGCAAUGCAAUCUACCACAAGAUGAUUAAGACAACAAUGAACUUAAGUCCCAGCCACUGCUGGAGAAUAUC